UCGGCAUUUGGCAGCCGAUCGCUCCAUCGCCACUCACCUUCUCGAGCCCUCCCUCUCAAUGAUCACGACGGGUCUGCUGUUCACAUGAGUAGACGGCGGCCGCCGUCUCCGUAGGAGGAGAUGGUGGUAGUGAAGAAGCCCUCGCGGUGGUCGGACGCCCUCACUACCAUCCUCCUUUCGAGCCUCCUCCUUGCCGCUGCGCCUUUCGGGUGAAGGCGCCCUAACUCAUAUGGUCAUGCAGAUCCUCAUGAAUGCCUGUGGCCUUUGGCAAACAAAAGAUGCUGCCUUGAGAUAAGACCACUUGUAGUACCUUUGUUCAUCAAUUUGAGGAUGAAUGAUAAACACUGUAUUCGUCUGAAUACUAAUGACUGAAAAUUUCACAAAAUGAACAGCUUUGGGGAAAAUACUUUGUGAUGCUUAUUGUUGCGGCAGAACAUAUCAGUGGCCAGCCAGGCAUUGGGUUUCAGGAGGCAGGUUGAUAGCGUCUGACAUGUGCAUUGGCGUGGCGUGAAGAACCGAGCCUGAGUAGGCGUUAAUGCGCCUCGGUCGGUGUUCCGGUUCGGUUGACCGAGUGCAGUCGCGUCGAUCGAGGCGUGAGGCGUCGGCUGACGUCAGCCGAGUCUUAUCGUAAUUACUAUCCUCAUCAGCACCAAAAAUUAUAAGAAAAUAUUGUAGGCGAUGGUGAUAAAAAUGGAUUAGAAAUUAGUCUUACAAUUUUAAGAUUAUAAUAGUCAGAUGAUGUCUGGGUUGAUCCGCUACUUGAUCUAUUACUUCUGGUGAUGGUGAUGAAGAGUAAUUAAUUAAGCCAAGACAUGCUGCCUCCUUACAUACCCUAACAUACAUAUUUGGUGGUUUAAAUUCUGCAUCAUCCUUGCCUAUAUAUGCUUUAAUUGUUGAAUCGGGAUAAGAUCAUCUUUCCACUGUCAUCUAAUGCAGUCGAAGAUGAGAAAGCAAUGAGAACCCACUAGGAAGGAGAGAAAAGUCCCAAAAAGAAGAGGUAUAUGAGUUCACAGGAAAGGGUUUCUGUACACAAGUCAUCUACGUGAAUACUUAGGCUACCAAUUAGUCUAACCAGUCUCCCAUUAAGGUAAAUUAGUAAUCAUCGUCUUCGUCUCGCGGUACCACCCGUUUCCCAAUGUGAAUGGGAGUGGGCUCGAGGUUAUCCAGUGACUGCUCUCCCGUCACCCUCCGUUGUUGCUGCACCACUAGCGUCGACGCCUCGCCGCCGAAGUCCGUCGAUGCCAGCAUGUCCCCGAUGACCCCCAGCUCCGGGUACUCGCUCCACAUCGACAUCCCCGCCGUCAUCAGCGACUCCUUCCCCUCCCUCCGACCCACGAUCAGCAAGCUGAACUCGGGGCUCGUCUCAUGGAUCACCCUCACCAUCGCCUCCCCGUCCUUUGCCUCCUCCUCCCUGUACAUCACCCGCUUCUCGUCCACCCACUCCUGCCGGUAUUGCAUUAGCAUCUUGUCGUCGAGCCUCUCCUCCCAUCCGUCUUCCCGCCACUCUUUGGGCGGGAGGAAGCGCACCACCGUCAGCGAGGCGGCGGCGCGCUCCACCAUGCGCACGCCGUAGGCCAGCGCCUCCCGGUCGUCGGC